rnacentral:rRNA from 1 species
GCCUGUUUAUCAAAAACAUGGCUUUUUGAUAAUAAUAUAAGGUCAGGCCUGCCCAAUGAUAAUUUAAAUGGCUGCGGUAUUUUGACCGUGCAAAGGUAGCAUAAUCAUUAGUUUUUUUAUUGGAAGCUGGAAUGAAGGGUUUGACGAGAAAGAAGCUGUCUUAAUUUAAUUAUUUGAAUUUUAUAUUUGAGUGAGAAAGCUUAAAUGAUUUUGAGGGACGAGAAGACCCUAUAGAAUUUAAUAAUUUAAGUGUUUUGGAGGUUUGGUUUAAGAUAAUUAGGACAGGUAAAAUUAAUUUGUUGGGGUGAUGGGAAAAUUUAAUUAACUUUUUUUUUAAAAUAUCACUUGUUAGUGAAUAUAUGAUCCAUUAGAAAUGAUUAUAAGAAGUAAUUACCUUAGGGAUAACAGCGUUAUUAAUUUGGAGAGUUCAAAUCGAUAAAUUAGUUUGCGACCUCGAUGUUGGAUUAAAAUUAGCUUUUGGUGAAGGGACUAGAAAGCUAAGUCUGUUCGACUUUUAAAAUUUUACAUGAUCUGAGUUCAGACCGG